AUUGAACGCUGGCGGCAGGCCUAACACAUGCAAGUCGAGCGGAUGAGUGGAGCUUGCUCCAUGAUUCAGCUGCGGACGGGUGAGUAAUGCCUAGGAAUCUGCCUGGUAGUGGGGGACAACGUUUCGAAAGGAACGCUAAUACCGCAUACGUCCUACGGGAGAAAGUGGGGGAUCUUCGGACCUCACGCUAUCAGAUGAGCCUAGGGCGGAUUAGCUAGUUGGUGAGGUAAAGGCUCACCAAGGCGACGAUCCGUAACUGGUCUGAGAGGAUGAUCAGUCAAGCUGGAACUGAGACACGGUCCAGACUCCUACGGGAGGCAGCAAUGGGUAAUAUUGGACAAUGGGCGAAAGCAUGAUCCAGCCAUGCCGCGUGUGUGAAGAAGGUCUUCGGGUUGUAAAGCACUUUAAGUUGGGAGGAAGGGCAGUAAGUUAAUACCUUGCUGUUUUGACGUUACCAACAGAAUAAGCACCGGCUAACUUCGUGCCAGCCGCCGCAGUAAGAC
rnacentral:rRNA from 1 species